CGCUUGUUCCAGCAAGUACAGGACAACAAAUCUAGGGCUGACUUAGAACAGCUCUCCAAAUACAGAGGCAGAGGGGCCUCCGCGCGCGUGACGCCCACGUGGAGCUGCCCAGUGCCCCAAAGGCAGCCUGGUUACCAUGGUUCCCCUGAGCCAAUGGAUCUCCAGUGGCCUCCCAGUGGUGGCCAGAGCUUGAGAGUCUCUCACAGUCAAAUGGAGAAGCCACAACCUUUGAGCAAGGACCAGGCCAGGAUCUGCCCUCCAGCAGGUUCACCUGUUUGCAUCAAGAAGCAGGAAGGUAUUCCUCACCUCCUCCUGGAUGCCUUCCAAACUUCCCAGAGGGCCUUAGAGCUGCCUCCUUCAGAACUCCGAC